rnacentral:rRNA from 1 species
AACCGGAGCUAAUACCGGAUAAUAUUUCGAACCGCAUGGUUCGAUAGUGAAAGAUGGCUUUGCUAUCACUUAUAGAUGGACCUGCGCCGUAUUAGCUAGUUGGUAAGGUAACGGCUUACCAAGGCAACGAUACGUAGCCGACCUGAGAGGGUGAUCGGCCACACUGGAACUGAGACACGGUCCAGACUCCUACGGGAGGCAGCAGUAGGGAAUCUUCCGCAAUGGGCGAAAGCCUGACGGAGCAACGCCGCGUGAGUGAUGAAGGUCUUCGGAUCGUAAAACUCUGUUAUUAGGGAAGAACAAACGUGUAAGUAACUGUGCACGUCUUGACGGUACCUAAUCAGAAAGCCACGGCUAACUACGUGCCAGCAGCCGCGGUAAUACGUAGGUGGCAAGCGUUAUCCGGAAUUAUUGGGCGUAAAGCGCGCGUAGGCGGUUUUUUAAGUCUGAUGUGAAAGCCCACGGCUCAACCGUGGAGGGUCAUUGGAAACUGGAAAACUUGAGUGCAGAAGAGGAAAGUGGAAUUCCAUGUGUAGCGGUGAAAUGCGCAGAGAUAUGGA